rnacentral:lncRNA from 1 species
AUAGAGACAACGAGUUGUGCCAAUAUCUGUUAUUUCGAACACACAACUUUAAGACGGUUUUGUCUUGCCCUACUUUGGUUAAUACUUUACCGUCAAUUUUUGGAAGCCUUUCCUCUGAAGGAAGACUCGUAUCCCAAUCAAAAUAAUAAUUAUCUCAAAGUAUAGGGGAUCAGUUCAAUAAUAUGUUAAAAGAAAAAAGAACCCAACAAUAAAUAUGAAAACUUAAACUAAAA